AUUGAACGCUGGCGGCAGGCCCAACACAUGCAAGUCGAACGGUAACAGGAAGACUCUUGCUUCUUUGCUGCCGAGUGGCGGACGGGUGAGUCAUGUCUGGGAAACUGCCUGAUGGAGGGGGAUAACUACUGGAAACGGUAGCUAAUACCGCAUAACGUCGCAAGACCAAAGAGGGGGAGCUUCGGGCCUCUUGCCAUCGGAUGUGCCCAGAUGGGAUUAGCUAGUAGGUGGGGUAACGGCUCACCUAGGAGACGAUCCCUAACUGGUAGGAGAGGAUGACCAGCCACACUGGAAGUGAGACACGGUCCAGACUCCUAGGGGAGGCAGCAGGGGGGAAUAUUGCACAAUGGGGGCAAGCCUGAUGCAGCCAUGCCGGGUGUAGGAAGAAGGCCUUCGGGUUGGAAAGUACUUUCAGCGGGGAGGAAGGGAGGAAAGUUAAUACCUGUGCUCAUUGACGGUACCCGCAGAAGAAGCACCGGCUAACUCCGUG
rnacentral:rRNA from 1 species